rnacentral:rRNA from 1 species
GACGAACGCUGGCGGCGUGCUUAACACAUGCAAGUCGAACGGAAAGGCCCUGCUUUUGUGGGGUGCUCGAGUGGCGAACGGGUGAGUAACACGUGAGUAACCUGCCCUUGACUUUGGGAUAACUUCAGGAAACUGGGGCUAAUACCGGAUAGGAGCUCCUGCUGCAUGGUGGGGGUUGGAAAGUUUCGGCGGUUGGGGAUGGACUCGCGGCUUAUCAGCUUGUUGGUGGGGUAGUGGCAUACCAAGGCUUUGACGGGUAGCCGGCCUGAGAGGGUGACCGGCCACCAUGGGACUGAGAUACGGCCCAGACUCCUACGGGAGGCAACGGUGGGGAAUAUUGCACAAUGGGCGGGAGCCUGAUGCAGCAACGCCGCGUGCGGGAUGACGGCCUUCGGGUUGUGAACCGCUUUCGCCUGUGACGAAGCGUGAGUGACGGUAAUGGGUAAAGAAGCACCGGCUAACUACGUG